UUCCCAUCCGGGGUCAGGACGGUCUUCCGGGUGUUUCCGAAGGGGCUUUCUACGCCGCUUUUUUCGGCGACUUUUUGGUCUUCCGUAUCUUGCCCCCGAGCUCCCACACCCUUGUUGGCCCUGCCUUUUCUUGGGUCGCUUCUCCCCGACCGCCGAGCCCGGAAUUUUGAUCGCAAUCCGGAUCCGCAGCCGGGCCUAGCCACCCCACGCGGGCCACUACUGGCUCGGGCGGAAAGCUGGGACCGAGCGCGCCGGGCCGUCGCUGCUCCGGCCGUGAGGCUCCUGGGCGGGCGGUGCCCGUAGAACGCUUUCUAGGACCGAACGAAGAAGAUUGUCUUGGGACCCUGCAUGGUGUUUGAAAGGGUGGUGAGGAACUAAGGUAGAAGAAUACAUGUUCACUUUUCGUGAACAAGAGCAUGUUCCCAAACUCAAUUUUGGGUCGCCCGCCUUUUACUCCAAACCAUCAACAACAUAAUACCUUCUUCACCCUGUCACCAAGUCCUUAUUCACACCAGCAGCUUAUAGAUGCACAGUUCAACUUUCAAAAUACAGACUUGUCUAGAGCUGUGUCAUUACAGCAGUUGACAUAUGGAAAUGUCAGUCCAAUACAGACCUCAGCUUCCCCAUUAUUUAGAGGGAGGAAGAGAUUAAGCGAUGAAAAGAAUCUUCCUCUUGAUGGUAAACGGCAGCGUUUCCAUUCACCCCACCAAGAGCCAACUAUAGUUAACCACAUAGUGCCUUUAUCAGGUGAAAGAAGAUACUCAAUGCCACCAUUGUUUCAUACACACUAUGUACCAGACACAGUCAGAUGUGUUCCACAUUUUCGAGAAAUACCAUUUAUAGAACCUAGAGAAAUCACACUGCCUGAGGCCAAAGAUAAGUUGAGUCAGCAGAUAGUGGAGUUAUUUGAAGCAUGUCAGCAGCAAGUAAGUGAUUUAAAGAAGAAAGAACUUUGUCGAACAGAGCUGCAGAGAGAAAUUCAACUGUUAUUUCCACAAAGCAAACUUUUUUUAGUUGGGUCCUCUUUAAAUGGAUUUGGUACUCGGACCAGUGAUGGUGAUUUAUGUCUAGUUGUUAAAGAGGAACCAGUAAGUAAUGAAACAAUUAUUCCAAAUGUGUUUUUCCUGUUAAGUCAUUGAAGAAAUCUCAUAUAAAAGUCAUUGAGAAAAAACAAGCCUGUUUUGUUUUAACUGCUUCUUUGAAUUCUCUGUUUAUAGUAAUGCAGGGAAAGCCAGGAAAGGCUUUUUUUUAAAGGCAUGUACAUAAAAAGCAUAACAAAUUCUAGCAUUAAUGUCUAUUUAAGUUGUUAAAGUGAGGUGGAUUCAUUGUAUGUUUUUAAAGAGCUCUCCCUCUAUUUUGAAAUGUCAUUGGGUUGGGUAUGUUACUGGGGUGCAGUAAAGAGGACGAGCAUGUCUUUCUCUUCUUGACAUAUUUCCUUCCGUUUAAAUUCUUAGUGAUUCUAUAUUUAAUCUUUAUUAUUUUCCCUUUGCAAGUACUAUGGGAUUUGGACUUAUUUUAGAAAUUCAACAAGAGAGAUUUUGCUUAUUAAAAUAAGAUUGUUGUGAUUUAAAGUAAUUUUCUCUGAUAUUUUGAGUUGGUUUUUUCUUAUUUGGCAACCAAAUUUUGUUAUUUAGUAUUAUGUUUAUUUGAAUUUCUUAUUAGCUGAUACUCUUGUGUAUUCUUAAUUCCACAGUAAUUGGUGUUCAUUAAGCUGACCUGAGCAGGCUUUUUAAUAUGCUGAAGUCUCUUCUGAAAUACCAAAGAUUAAUUUCAGUGUAAUUUUAACAUGCCUUCUAUUCCAUCUCUUAAAAAAUACAAAAACUCUGUUGGAUAGUAAUACGUAUUUUUACUAUUACUCUUAGUCCACUAACAAAAUUGGCUUCUAGUUAAGGCAUAUCAGAAAGAUAUUUAUUCCAGGAAAGAGACUCUUGAUAUUUUUCUAGGCUGUGAAAUCAUAUGAGAAAGGUGAAAGAAAAGAAAAGAAAACCCCAGAAAUAAUAAAUGUAGUGGAGAAUACUAGAGUUUUAAUUAAAACUUUCUCUCAUGCAACUAGAUUAUAUUGUAAGUAUAUUCCACUAAUCCUCCAGUCUUAUUCACAUGUCUAAAUCAUGUUCUCACAACUUAACCACCAUAAUUUGAACCUUAUUUUUAAGCAGCUCACAAUCCAGAUGGGGAAGUAAAACAUGCUACAGAAAGUUAAGAUUGUGUUUAUUUUCCUUGGAGAAGAUUGCUUUUGUACAUUUAUACUGAAGGAAAAGGAUGACAUGUGGCUGUUUCAAUAUUUCUUUUAAAAUUGUGCUUUUACAUUUAAAAUCAGUUAUUAGAAAUAGUGAUGUAGAAGAUAGCAUAACGGUUGACUUUUUAAAUAAUGUGGUUUACUGUAUAUUGAAAACUCUGCUGAGAUAUUUUCUUUUUGUUGGGAUACAUCAAGAAAAUAAAACACUAAGUUUAGAAAGAUAAUGAAAAACACUUUAUUUUUAACUUUUCAGUGUUUUUUUCAGGUAAAUCAGAAGACUGAAGCACGGCAUAUACUCACCUUAGUCCAUAAACACUUCUGUACUAGACUUUCAUGUAGAAGUUCCAGGGCUAGGGACUGAGGAACCCAAGCCACAGCUGCAACCUGAGCCACAGCAGUGACAACCUCGGAUCCUUAACCCACUGUGCCACCAAGGGAUCUCCUCUUUUUAACUUUUGAUUAAAAAGAAGAGUAACCAUUUAUUCAGUAAGUCUUUGUUGAGUUUACUUGCAAGCUCCGACUGAGGGUAGUGUCGAAUUAAAAGAUACGUAACCUUUAGUUUUUUUUCUCAAAUGGUUGCAGACAGUUAGGGAAGCUAAAGCAUAAUGUAAAUAGCUGUAAUGCAGACUAUCUGUGAAGAGCCAAAAGAAUUAUACAGAUAAAGUCUUACAGGUAUUCAUUUGAGGAAGAGAGAAUUUCUUCUGUUUUGCAAUGACAUACCCCUUUGCUUGUUUUAAAAACAUUUUCACUCAACACUUGGCCUCUAGUUAAGCCCAAAUAUAUUUCUCACAGAAAGCAAAAUUAUUGACUUAGGCCAUUUUGUUGUAAGAUUUUAUUCUUUGAAUAAGCUGACUAAGCAGAUUUUAACCCAAAUGUUAAGCCACCUCUAUUUAUUUAUUUAUUUAGACUGUGCCCGUGGCAUGUGGAAGUUCUUGGGCCAGGGAUUGAAUCCAUGCAGCAGCAGCAGCAGCCCAAGCCACUGGAGUGACAGCGCUGGAUCCUUAACCUGCUGUACCACAUAGGAAUCCUCAAAUAAUUUAUGUCAACUUCCACAGAAUAUUGUGGGCAGUUGAAGUCACACUAAUCAUGUACGUUGGAAAGAAACACAGUUUGUUCGCUUAUGUUUAACAAGUAUUCCUUAUGUUUCAGGCUUUGAGCUGAAAAAUGCAAAGGCAUAUAACAAGUAGUCAUGAACAACUUGUAUUAGUUGUAGGAAAGAAAUCAAAAGAUUUAUUUCAGUGGACUUGAGUUUCCACAUCUUUUAAAUAAAAGAGUAAUUCAUACUAUAAGUGAAUUUUUAAUAACUAUUAUUAGAAUCAUAAAAUAUUAAAAGGAAAAGCGACCUUAGAGGUCAUGUAAUGUAAAUGAAAGUAGUUUUUUUUGGAGGAGGGGGGUUGGUGUUUUUAAUAAUUAAGGGAACUGGUGGUCAGUGGGUUUAGUAACUUGCCUGAGGAAUGCAGUUUGUUGGAGUCUGGACUUGAACUUGGAACUCAAAACUCGUAACUCUAAAUCUUAUUUUUCAUUAAACCCUACUGAAUUCCUACACAUAAUUCUAUUUGAAGCUUGAUGUAUUAUGAUUUUGGUGUUAAGAGCAUUGUGGCAGAAAAUUCUGUUUUUUUGUUUGUUUGUUUGUUUGUUUUUUUUUUGUCUUUUUAGGGCCAUGACUGCGGCAUGUGGAAGUUCCCAGGCUAGGGGUCAAAUCAGAGCUGUAGCUGCUGGCCACAGCCACAGCCACAGCCACAGCCACGCCAGGAUCCGAGCUGCAUCUGCGACCUACACCACAGCUCACGGCAAUGCCAGAUCCUUAACCCACUGAACAAGGCCAGGCAUGAAACCCGAUACUACUCAGGUUCGUUACUGCAGAGCUACCACGGAAGCUCCAGAAAAUUGUUAAUUUCAUAAUGUGUGGGUUUUUUGUGUUUUUUUAGUGAAAACAUUAUGAAAUUGCUUGUUAGGGAAGAGUUUGCAGAAUUUCUUUUUUAUACAUUUCUGUAUUUUCUCACUUUUCUACAAUGAACAUAUAUUUCAACCCAGGAAAAAAAAAAUUUAAGAUUGGUAGCAUAAAAAGCUAUCCAUACAUGUGUUUUUCCUCUUAGUGGUCUUACUUAUUUGAAUUUAUCACUGCCCCAUGUAUCAUGUUGCCAGCAUUUCCACAUUUAAGAUUCUUUGUAAUAUGAUUUCUAUGGCUACCAUAACAUCUUGUCAUAUGCUGUCGCAGAAUUUAGCUAUCCCUCUGCUCUUGGCCCAGAUAUUUCUCACUCUUGAAAUGCUCUGAUGAACUUCUUUAUAGAUGUUAUUAGAUGUUUUACAUUUCUGAAAAUAAUGUAUUAAUAUAUAAAGCCCUCUACAUGGUAUUGGAAGUUCCAGUCUUAGAUGAAUUUGAUAAUGUCCUUUUGACUUGACUUUCUCUCUCAAAGACUGUAUUUUCUUAAAUUGUUUUAGCUAAGUAAAAUAUUACUUUUAAAAGAAUGUGCACUGGAACACUGUGAAUUUGAGAAACAUUUACAGAUACCCAUAUUAUCUUUCAUGCUUCAGCUGGUUACAUUGAAAGACCUCAGCUGAUUCGCGCGAAAGUGCCAAUUGUGAAGUUCAGGGAUAAAGUGAGUUGUGUGGAGUUUGACUUGAAUGUAAACAAUAUUGUUGGAAUAAGAAACACAUUCCUUCUCAGAACUUAUGCAUACCUUGAAAAUCGAGUUCGUCCGUUAGUACUGGUGAUUAAGAAGUGGGCGAGUCACCAUGAGAUAAAUGAUGCCAGUCGUGGUACUUUAAGCAGCUAUAGUCUUGUAUUGAUGGUUUUGCACUAUUUACAGACCCUACCUGAACCUAUCCUUCCAUCCAUCCAAAAAAUGUACCCAGAAUCUUUUAGUCCUGCCCUACAGCUGCACCUCGUACAUCAAGCUCCAUAUAAUGUUCCUCCUUACCUCUCAAAGAACGAAUCAAAUCUUGGGGACCUCUUAUUGGGCUUUCUUAAAUAUUAUGCUACAGAAUUUGACUGGAACAGUCAGAUGAUUUCAGUUCGUGAAGCCAAAGCCAUUCCCAGGCCUGAUGGUAUUGAAUGGAGAAAUAAAUUCAUCUGUGUAGAAGAACCUUUUGAUGGAACAAAUACAGCCAGAGCUGUGCAUGAAAAGCAGAAGUUUGAUGUGAUCAAGGAUCAAUUUUUAAAGUCAUGGCACCGAUUGAAAAACAAACGGGAUUUGAACAGUAUACUACCUUUAAGAGCUGCUAUCCUGAAAAGAUAACUGGCCUCUAUUUCUUAAUAAAGAACAGUAGUAACAUCAUAAUGCAUCUUGUUUACCGUCAUCAUGGUUUCUCUUUAAUUAUUCUUGUUUUCAUGUUUUAUUUUUAAGAGGACAUACUUAUAAAAAGAGUGCAUAUUUUAUUAUGACAUUUCCUAAUGAAACACUUUGAUUUAAAGAUGUAUUUUUAAAAAUGUUUACAUUGAUGAUUAGUAACAUUAUGGCAUGAAUUUUCAGGAAAUCAGAUAAAAUAUUUUUGGGGGGAAUUACCUGAACAAAUAAAAGGUUUUUGAUAUAACUUUAAAUAAUUGUACCACAUGCUAAUACUGAAGAGAUGUGUGGACUUUUUUUGGAGAAAAGUAGAUGGUUUGUUGCCUGAGUCUGUUCUAGUAAAGUGAAGACUCAAGUCAGUUAUUCGGGUACUUGAAACAAAAUGAAAUCUUUUAUUUCAGUGGAAUCACAGCAGAGGCAUGAAAUACUGGACAGUUGCCUUAGGUCUUCACUCGACUCCUCAGGAUAGACGUGAGGCUUUGGUUGAGUCUAUAUUAAUUAGCAUUUCAUUAGUACCUCACAUGCUUUUGGUGUAGUUGAGAUUGCUUUAAAUUUUGUGUUGAAACAACAGAACAUUUGCACUGUAGUAAUAUGAGCACUAACUCUGUAUUGGACAGCAGUUAGGGAAUUGUUUGAAAGAAUGAAUUCAUUGUAGACAUUUUGAAAAGAUCAAGUCCUUUGUGCUUCAUGUUAGCCUAGUGUGCAAUAUGCACUUUGGCUUUACUUCCCGUUUUCCUGCUUUUGUUUUCCCUUUGACAUGAAGCAUCGCAAACUGAAAGAUCAAAGUUGAGAUUAUAUCCCAUUGAUAGUAGCAGAGUUUUUUUCUGUGUACAAUUAUAGGAUUUGUAAUCUCAACUGGAAUUUUUUAGGCAGUAAGCCAGUAUGAAAUGUUUUAGGACAUAACAAAAUAUAAAUAAAAGCUUAAUGUUUGUAAAGAUACCAUUUUUAGUAUUUCUUUUCCACAUGAAGAAAUAGGGGCUGCUAAAAAAGCUGCAGUGUUUUUGGUUUAUGUAAAUAUUUGUAAAUUGGUCAGUGCCUGUAAAUUUAAAUAUAAAUAAUCUUAAAAACAGUUUUUAACUUUUUCAGAAGGACUGUGUACAACUUCUUUUAGACCUGCUGUAGCACAGUUUGUACCUCUAAUGUAUUUGGGUUUUUUGCAGACCAAUUCAGAUGCUAAGACUUUUGCUUUGACUCGUAAAAGGUGCAUAUUUUCAUUUUUUUCUUUAAGUUUAAAUUUUUGUAUGACCAAAUGGAAUAAAGUUUAUAUAUGGAAAUGA